CUGUGAUACAGAAAAAAGGAAGAGGAGGGAGAAGGCGGGGCUGAGGGAAAAUAAGGUGGCCAGGGCCCAAUAUUCUGAAAGUUUGCCAAACCUCAAAGGUGGCACCUUGCACACUGGAGAAAUUGGUGCUCUAUUGGCAGGAGGCCCUGCAUCCUCUGUAAAUUGGCACAAGCCUUCUCACAGCAUAGCAGCUGCUCACCUCAUGGCGGGGGUUCCGUGGCAGGGCAGGGGAGCCAAGGGUCAUUUGUGACCUGGCCUCAUGCCAGCUGUGCCAUGUCCAGAGGUCAUCCCCCAUCUCUGCGGGAGAGGCCACACAGCAGUGUAGGUGCCAGCAAGGAGGUAACAUGGGGAGCCAGCAUGGUGGUACAUUGGAAGAUGUGGGCUUUGGGGAGCAGAUGACAUCAUAAUGGGUUAAGGCUAUUACUCCAAUUCUACAAAUAAGGCAUAGAGAAGAUCAACUGUACACAUUUCACCACCUGCUUUGCAAGCACAAGGUCCCAAUUUGAUCCCUGGUACCAAAAAAAGAUUAACUGUACACAGUAAGUCUCUGCUUAAUCAGACUCUGCUUAGUAAUUUCUGUCCUGAUCUUUAUGGUGAGAACCUGGAAGGAGGACCUAGGAGGCAAAACCCUGCAAACUGUGAGGACCCCCACAACUGGCC
rnacentral:lncRNA from 1 species